ACGAGAGAGAGUUAUGCGAAACUGAACACAUUUCCACCAUUAGCUUUACGAAUUAAAAUAAGACUCACAAAAAAAUAUAUAAACUAAGAAUGUGAGACAGUACAGAGGAUAUAUACGAAUAGAUGUGAUUGAUCGAUUGUAAAGUUCUGUAAGUAAAUAAAUGAAAAAUGGAAGUUAAAGAAAUUGCUUAAGCUUAAGUAUGUAAAACAGUAGAAGAGGAAAGGAAGAAUGGAAAGGACAGGUCGAUUGUAAACUUAUAAAACGAAUAGAAAAUAAAAAUGGCAGUAAAAGAAAUUCAACAAAUACCCAAAGCUUAUAAGUAUGUGCAGCAGAAGAGGAGGAUUGAACGAGUGGAAAUACCAGGUCAAUUUUUGAGUCCUGAAAACGAAUAGAAAAAUAAAAAUGGGAGUAAAAGAAAUUGAACAAAUACCCAAAGUUUAUAAGUAGGUAAAGCAGAAGAGGAGGAUUGAACGAGUGGAAAUAACAGGUCAAUUUUUAAGUUCUGAAAACGAAUAGAAAAAUAAAAAUGGAAGUAAAAGAAAUUGAACAAAUACCCAAAGUUUAUAAGUAGGUAAAGCAGAAGAGGAGGAUUGAACGAGUGGAAAUAACAGGUCAAUUUUUAAGUUCUGAAAAUGAAUAGAAAAAAGGAUUAAAGUAAAAGAAAUUAAACAAAUCCAGUAAGUUUAAGUAUGUACAGCAGAAGAGGAGGAUUGAAUGAGUGGAAAUAACAGGUCGAAUUUUAAAGUUCUGAAAAUGAAGAGAAAAAAUAAAAUAGAUGGAAAUAAAACAAAUAGAAGGAAAUAAACUCAAGAUAACCCAAACAACAGACUUACAUUCCUUCAAAAAAACAAAUUAAUCAACUUCAGAGCGAAAAUACAAACAAACGUCCAAAUGAAUGGAUAAAACAUCAUCCUUAACCAAUCAAAAGAAGAAGAUAAUUAGAAAAAUAAUAAGUACUACAAUGAUCUUUCUUUCGGCCACCUCUUUUAAUUCUUUUUUGGGAGCAGCGAGUAGCGGGCUUUUUUUAUUAUUGUUUUUUUUGUGUGCCCUUGAGCUGCCUCCUUUGUUGUAAAAAAAAAAUGAAUGGAAAGUGGAAAAAUUAUCUACGGACAAAAUAAUGACAGGUUAAUUAUGCCCUACACCACCUGGGCACAACACUAAACAUUUGGAGUCAGGAAGAAGCAGGUGAUGGUGGUGGUGGUGGUGGUGGUGGUGAUGGUGGUGAUGGUGGUGGUGACCUCUUCCUAGACCAAUGAGUGUGGCGUGUAUGUCCUCCUGACCCGCUAAUAGCAACGACAACAACAACAAAACAAAAACACCCAUCAUUAUGUUAAGUUAGGCCUAGGAACACGUACAAUACCUGGCAGCUUCUUAACAACAACAACAACAACAACAACAACAACAACAACAACAACACCCAUUAUCAUGUUAAGUUAGGCCUAGGAACCCGUACAAUACCUGCUAGCUUAAUGACUAACAACAACUAUAACAUAACAUCCACCAUCGUGUUUGAGAUAGGCCUAGAAACUUGUAUUAUACCUGUUAGCUUAUUUCUCCCUCGUUAUAACUAUUCGUGUAUACCCUGUCUGCAUUUGACUAAGUGUAGGAUUCGUGAAGUUGAUUAAGGAUCUGUAUAUAGGCAUUUGUUGGUUCUAAAUAAGUUUGGUAAGCUGUAGGAACUCGUAUGAUACCUGUUAGCUUCUUUUUUUCUUUCUAUCUAUUUGUGUAUAUUAUCUUUUUGCUCAUAGAUAGGUUUAAAAUUUCAAGAGUUUAUUAAGAAUGUGUAUAAAGGUAUUUCCACCAAUAUCUUCUAAGUUUGGUAAGCUGUAGGAACUCGAAUUAUACCUGUUAGCUUGUUUUUCAUUCUAUCAAUCAGCUUAAUUCCUCUUUUUGCUCAUAGAUAGGUUUAAAUUUUAAGUUUAUUAAGAAUGUGUAUAAACGUAUUUCAAUCAAUAUCUUCUAAGUUUGGUAAGCUGUAGGAACUCGAAUUAUACCUGUUAGUUUGUUUUUCAUUCUAUCAAUCAGCUUAAUUCCUCUUUUUGCUCAUAGAUAGGUUUAAAAUUUAAGUUUAUUAAGAAUGUGUAUGAACGUAUUUCAAUCAAUAUCUUCUAAGUUUGGUAAGCUGUAGGAACUCGAAUUAUACCUGCUAGCUUUUUCUCAUUCUCUCUAUCAGUUUAAUUCCUCUUUUUGCUCAUAGAUAAGUUUAAUAUUUCAAGAGUUUAUUUUAGAGAUGAGUAUAAAUCAAUUUCUUCAUUAUUUUUGUGUUUGGUAAGCUGUAGGAACUCGUAUUAUACCUGUUAGAUUUUUUCUCAUUCUAUCAAUCAGUUUAAUUCCUCUUUUUGCUCAUAGAUAGGUUUAAAAUUUGAGUUUAUUAAGAAUGUGUAUAAGGUAUUUCUUCAUUAUUUUUGUGUUUGGUAAGCUGUAGGAACUCGAAUUAUACCUGUUAGAUUUUUUCUCAUUCAAUCUAUCAGUUUAAUUCCUCUUUUUGCUCAUAGAUAGGUUUAAAAUUUGAGUUUAUUAAGAAUGUGUAUAAGGUAUUUCUUCAUUAGUUUUGAGUUUGGUAAGCUGUAGGAACUCGUACGAUAUCGGUUAGCGUUUUUCUCAUUUUCUCUAUCAGUUUAAUUCCUCUUUUUGCUCAUAGAUAGGUUUAAAAUUUCAAGAGUUUAUGUUAAGGAUGUGUAUUAAAUCAAUUUCUUCAUUAUUUUUGUGUUUGGUAAGCUGUAGGAACUCGUACGAUACCAGUUAGCUUUUUCUCAUUUUAUCAAUCAGUUUAAUUCCUCUUUUUGCUCAUAGAUAGGUUUAAAAUUUCAAGAGUUUAUUAGGAAUGUGUAUAAAGUUACUUCCCUCGUUAUUUUUGUGGUUGGUAAAGUGUAGGAACUCGUAUUAUGCCUGUUAGCUUGUUUUUAAUUUUCUCUAUCAGUUUAAUUCCUCUUUUUGCUCAUAGCUAGGUUUAAAAUUUCAAGAGUUUGUUAAAAAUGUGUAUAAAGUUACUUCCAUCGUUAUAUUUGUGGUUGGUAAAGUGUAGGUACUUAGAUCAUACCUGUUAGCCUGAUUCUUUAUCUAAUUGUGCAUAUUUUUAUUUUAUUUCGUAGAGGAGUGUAAGGCUUGUGGAAGGGAUUAAGGGGGUGUGUUCUAAGUUCUCUCUGAUUGUUAAGGUUCAGGCACUCGAAUUAUACAUGACAUCUUGCUUUUCCCAUCUAACUGUGUAUAUUCUUUCUCUUGUAUUCCUUAGUGUAGGGUUUAUGGAACUGAUUAAGGAUGUUUGUGUAGGUAUAUCUUGGUUUUCUCUAUGUUUGGUAAGGUGUAAACACUCGUAUGAUACCUGUUGGCUUAUUUCUCCUUCAGUCUAUCAGUGUAAAUUCUUUCCCUCGUAUUCCUCAGUGUAGGGUUUAUGGAGCUGAUUAAGGAUGUGUUUAAGGGUAUGUAUUUGUUUUCUUCCUCUUUGGUAAGGUUUAGGCACUCGUAUGAUACCUGUUGGCUUAUUUCUCCUUCAGUCUAUCAGUGUAAAUUCUUUCCCUCGUAUUCCUCAGUGUAGGGUUGAUGGAUAUGAUUAAGGAUGUGUGUGUAGGUAUAUCUUGGUUUUCUUUGUUUGGUAAGGCUUAGGCACUCGAAUGAUACCUGUUGGCUUAUUUCUCCUUCAAUCUAUCAUCCUUUCUCUCGUAUUCCUCAGUGUAGGGUUUAAGGAGCUGAUUAAGAAUGUGUGUAAGGGUAUGUAUUUGUUUUCCCCAUGUUUGGUAAGGUGUAGACACUCGUAUGAUACCUGUUCCCUUAUUUCUCCUUCAUUCUAUCUGUGUAAAUCCUUUCUCUCGUAUCCUAAGUACUCGGUUAAUGGAAAUGAUUAAGGAAUGGUAUAAGAUUCUUCCCUUUUUUGUGUAAGAACGUGUAUCAUACCAGUAGUUCGUUUCACUUAUCUAUCAGUGUAUACGUUUUCGCGCACAAGUCCGAGUGUAGCGUUUAACGAAGUGAUUAAGGUUUGGUAUAGUUAAGAUUCUUCCUUUUUGUGUGUGUAUGUAGGGACCCGAAUUCCGCCCGGUAGCUUGUUUCUUGUUCCAUCAGUACGUGUAUAUUGUUUCGCGUAUGUCUGAAUCUAGUGUUUAUGCUGUUGGUUAAGGAUUUGUAUAUAGGUUCGUCUUUGUUCGUUGUUUUGUUUUCUCUCUGGUAGGCUAAGAAGUGGUAGGAGCUAAGUCUUGAGUGGGCAGCGAGGAAGCAAUGUUCAUGUUUGUGUUUGCGAUAACGACGACUUUUACGACAACAGCAAAUCUAGAACGUGAGAAAAUGUUUAGUUUGCGAAAAGACGAAGUGGAAGGAAGCGCGAUUUGUAAUUCAUAUAUAUCUUAGAGAGAGUACAUACUUUAAUUUCCCGACUAGCAGGAAAUUAGGUAAAUCGUUUUGAGGUUUAGAAUGUCGCAAAAGAGGAUAUUUGGGAUAAUCGAACAACCAUCGUACUCGUGUCAGGAAACAUUAUUUAGUACAUUAACUUGAAAGAAGUAAAAGUCAUUGAAAAGUUUGGACAAGAGAAAGACAAUAAAAAAAUGAAAAAAAAUGCGUUGGAAAGGUUUAAACUGACAAAGAGAUUAAGAUGCCGUUCAAAAAUCGUAGAAAAUUACUUGCAAUUUAUAUAUACGUUGAUUUUUAGAGGAGAAUUUUAAACAUAUCAUUCAUAACACAAAAUCGAUUACGCAGCCACUUGGAAAAACCGCUUAAAACAUAUAAUAACAGAUCCAAGUUAUAAAAAGGACUGAGAUAUAUUGAAUUAGUAAAAGAAACGAAACACCGAGGAAAAAAGGAGAGAUUAAUGAGCAAACAAAUUAAGACAGAUUAAAACUUGUCUCCCAAAACUCGAGCAUAAAGAAAUAGUUAGUCUUUACGUGUCAUUUCUAAUGUGUGAUGUAUAUAAAAAAAUUACCUUGAUUCUCCAGUGAGCAUAAAAAAGUGUACAUAUAUUUAGCUUGUGAUAGAAAAAAAUGUUGUACAAAUGAAUGAAUGAAACCGGUUAUCCAGCACGUGACGGUAAAAAUAGAUUAAAAUGCAGACAAAAGUGAAGUAAAUGAAAAUGUUAAACUAAACUGCACACGAAUGUCAAAGAACGCAUAGGUUAAGACUAGUGUUAAAAACUUCGAUAUAAGGAGAUUCGUUACUUAUACAGAGAAAGAUAAAGUGAAUGUAAGAGUUUUGAGAAUCUGAAACUAAAAUGAGGAAGAAUGACAUUGAACGAAUAGAUUAAGAUUAGUGUAAAAACCUUCGACAUAAGGAAAUUCGUUACUUAUACAGAGAAAUAUAAAGUGAAUGUAAAAGUUUUGAGAAUGUGAAACUAAAGUGCAGAAGAAGGACAUUGAACGAAUAGAUUAAGAUUAGUGUAAAAACUUCGAUAUAAGGAAAUUCAUUACUUAUACAGAGAAAUAUAAAGUGAAUGUAAGAGUUUUGAGAAUGUGAAACUAAAAUGAGGAAGAAUGACAUUGAACGAAUAGAUUAAGAUUAGUGUAAAAACCUUCGACAUAAGGAAAUUCGUUACUUAUACAGAGAAAUAUAAAAUGAAUGUAAGUUGAACGAAUAGGUUAAAAUUAGUGAAAAACCUUCGAUAUAAGAAAAUUAAUUACGUUAGAGUGAAUGUGUGAUGUGGAUAUUCGUAACUGGGGGAGAGAGAGAGAGAGAGAGAGAGAGAGAGAGAGAGAGAGAGAGAGAGAGAGAGAGAGAGAGAGAGAGAGAGAGAGAGAGAGAGAGAGAGUGUGUUUAGUCUUAGCAGAGCAUUCCCUCAGCCUACACAUGCACACACAUUUACGCACAUGUGUCUGCGUAUACCUACACACACACAUGCAUGCGUACACAUAGAUACAUAAGAUAUUGAUAAGUAUACUGCAUCACACACACACACACACACACACACACACACACACACACACACACACACACACACACACACACACACGAAUAGUUUAAGUUCCCUUCAAUACAACGAAACUGACGAAGACUUAAAAAUAUAGGCCUACAGGUGAGAGGCCUAAGGGGAGAGGGGGCGACACACACACACACCCACACCCACACCCACACACACACACACACACACACACACACACGCACAUACCGCCCCCCAAAUCCUUGCAUGGUCCCACAACAGCUUCCUUACAAUCGUACUUUACAAUUAUUAUUACUAUUAUCAUUAUCAUUAUUAUUAUUAUUACAUUUAUUUCUCUGUUAGCAAGUAGUUAAGAAGAAGCUUUAGCCUGUAUAGAGUUACGAUCGUAUACCUUUUGCCCUUGAUCAUUUGCACAGCUUUAUUCUUUUUUUUGUUGUUGUUUGUUUUGUUUUAGUGAAUAAUUUCGUAUAAGCUUAAUUUGCUAGGUUAGUGAAGUGGAUCUUGUUUUAGUUUUUAUUCCUCGCUUUUGCUCACAGUAGUUUUAUUUGAGUGCUUGCGUGUGUGUGUGUGUGUGUGUGUGUGUGUGUGUGUGUGUGUACUUAUUAUGUAACUUCUAUUAAGCUUUAGCGAUUAAUUAACUUGAGUGAUGAGAGAAGAAAAGGAGGAGGAGGAGGAAUAGAGAGAGAGGGAGGAAAGUAGGAAGGAAGGAAGAGAGAGAAAGAAGCCUCGGAUGAGUGGUUAACGAUCUAAAAAUGUGCUGUACAACAUAUGUGAUAACUACCACCACCACCACAACAACAACCACAACAACAGCCAUGGUACAACUUAGGGUUACGGAAACAGGUUGGUGUGUGCAGGUCAGGUGUGCAGUGACAGGUAAACAAACACAGGUAGAGGUAGAAAGGACUUACAUACCAAAUCGGGACACGCUCGGCAAUUUGUACGCGGUAUUCCUGACUUAGUGCGCAUAACAAGAUAAAGAAAAACUGCCCUGGAAAACGAAGAUGAGGUAUUUAGAAGUGAAAAGUUGUCGAUGUAACGUUUGGUAAUCAGUUGAUCUCUUUGUUGACCUUUCUUUUGGACAUUCUUCUAAACUCAUUUUUUAUAGCGGGAGUGAUUAGCGUUUUUUUCUCUUUAUUUUUUGCCCUUAAGAUGCUUCCUUUAAUGUAAUAUCUCGACAAUCGUUCACUUUCAAACCUCGAUCAUUUUAUAGCGGCAGUGAUUAGCCGUUUUUUUCUCUUUAUUUUUUGCCCUUGAGAUGCUUCCUUUAAUGUAAUAUCUCGACAAUCGCUCACUUUCAAACCUCACUCAUUUUAUAGCGGCAGUGAUUAGCGUUUUUUUCUCUUUAUUUUUUGCCCUUGAGAUGCUUCCUUUAAUGUAAUAUCUCGACAAUCGUUCACUUUCAAACCUCGAUCAUUUUAUAGCGGCAGUGAUUAGCGGUUUUUUUCUCUUUAUUUUUUGCCCUUAAGAUGCUUCCUUUAAUGUAAUAUCUCGACAAUCGUUCACUUUCAAACCUCACUCAUUUUAUAGCGGCAGUGAUUAGCGGUUUUUUUCUUCCUCUCAAUCAUUUUUAUGCCCAAGAUAUGUUUCCUUCACUGCAAUAUCUCGACAAUCGUUCACUUUCAGACCCCAAUCGGUUUCCAGGCUAGUUAACCUUUCCCUUAAUCUGCGUACUAAUAGGAAAACCGCGUACUAAAUCGGUGAGCACAUCCACCCUAACCAAAUCAACGUCAAAUCAACCCUCAAACGUGCAAUGAUACAAACCAACCAACAACACAUCCAAGACAGGUACACACCGAUGCAGUGAUUCAGAAAGGUACAAAAAACAAUUACUUUAGAGAGAGUAAGAGAGAGAGAGAGGGAGAAAGACUGUAAGAUCGAGAGAGAGAGAGGAAGGAAGAAGAGUGCAAGAGUGACUGGGUCUGUUCACGGGGUCUACGCUUUAUGUGAUGUCGACAAAGUACAAUACGAGGAGCAAGCAGAAGGAGAGAUAACAGUAAGCCUUAGACAGUACAACGUGGAGGGAGGGAAGAAGAGGAGGAGGAGAAACCCAGGACAGAGACAGCCAGAUUGAGUGUACGUGUGUGUGAGUGUGAGUGUGUGUGGACGGUGAGGUGAGGAUGGAGUGUGAUGCUGAGGUGUUAGUGUUAGUGUAGCCAGUUGGGUGGUGGUGUGGAGGGCAAGAGAACACAUUAGGGGUGAAGGAAGGCUAUGGGAAGGAGGGAGAUGAAGGUUCCUGAGAGCACGUAGGAUAUUUUUUUGUUGUUGUUGUUCUCUGGUGAUUCUAAAUACAACUUGCUUUAGAGAUACGUUAUAAGAUCUUUGCAUGGUUGAUUUUUUUGUUUUUUUUAGUGGGAACACCGACGGAUACACACACACACACACACACACACACACACACACACACACACACACACACACACAACGUUACAGAUAUAUAAAGAAUGCAGCAUCUAGUGUAUAUGAUUACUUACCGUACUUUAAAUAAAUGAUGUUCACAAAGUGGUCAAUAGGAGAAUGAUAAUAAUAAUAAUAAUAAUAAUAAUAAUAAUAAUAAUAAUAAUAAUAAUAAUAAUAAUAAUAAUAAUAAUAAUAAUAAUAAUAAUAAAUGUGUCUUCAAUAUUUGUACUAGUGCAUUAACAUCACUAUUCUCUGAGCUACCGGCUAAAAUAACUUUAAAUAGGCAUCAUUAUAUUAGUUAACUCUUACAACAACUUAUAUCAACAUUCGCCAGUAAGAUCAGACAGUCGCCGGGGCUCGCCUCAACCAUCAACGACCCCGCGGCGACACACACAAACAAACUCCUGUACAAACACUUCUUCCUCAAUGUCCUCUAUAUACACGUUGUUGAUAACCUCUAGCUUCUCAAUGUGACUUCUAGAAUAUACGUAUCAUUUUUAAGUGAGUUACCCCCUCCUCCCCCUCCCCUUCAGGUCCUGUUUUUCGUAGUACAAUCAUUUAUUUCGUUGUUUCUUCUUUCACUUGGUCUUCACGCUAAGUUUUUUUUCGUCGUAGGGAUUUAGUCAACGUUACAAAACACCUUCGGAAGAGUUGGUUUCAAGUUGCGUGGUUAAGAUCAAGUCGCAAAGCUUAAGUUUAAUGCUUUAACAAACACCGUCUUAAUUUAGUCAUGUGUUUCUCUUUUAGUAUUAGACGCCUGCUUAUGUUUUACUUUUUCUCUCUCUCUUUUUUUGUGUUACAGUACCUACAAAUUAGUUUCCAUUACCUGUACAGAACUUUGGGUUAGGUAAGGUUAGGCAGUACGUUUAAAUUUGUUUCUAUUAAUUGUACAGAACUUUGGGUUGGGUUAAGUUAGGGCAGGGUAGGUUAGGGAGGACCUUUAAAUUUGUUUCCAUGGUUUGUACAGAACUUUGGGUUGGGUUAAAUUAGGGUAAGGAAGGUUAGGGAGGACCUUUAAAUUUGUUUCCAUUACCUGUACAGAACUUUGGGUUGGGUUAGGUGAGGGUAGGUUAGGCAGGACCUUUAAAUUUGUUUCCAUUAAUUGUACAGAACUUUGGGUUAGGUUAGGUUAGGUUAGGGUAGGUUAAGUUAGGCAGUACCUUUAAAUUUGUUUCCAUUACCUGUACAGAACUUUGGGUUAGGUUAGGUUAGGGUAGGUUAGGCAGGACCUUUAAAUUUGUUUCUAUUACUUGUACAGAUCUUUGGGUUAGGUUAUCAGCAAGUCAAGUUAGGUCAGGUUAAGUUAGGUUAGGUUAGGGUAGGCAGUACCUUUAAAUUUGUUUCCAUUACCUGUACAGAACUUUGGGUUGGGUUAAGUUUGGGUAGGGUAGGUUAGGCAGUACCUUUAAAUUUGUUUCCAUUACCUGUACAGAACUUUGGGUUAGGCUAGGUUAGGGUAGGUUAGGCAGGACCUUUAAAUUUGUUUCUAUUACUUGUACAGAUCUUUGGGUUAGGUUAUCAGAAGUCAAGUUAGGUCAGGUUAAGUUAGGUUAGGUUAGGGUAGGCAGUACCUUUAAAUUUGUUUCCAUUACCUGUACAGAACUUUGGGUUAGGCUAGGUUAGGGUAGGUUAGGCAGGACCUUUAAAUUUGUUUCUAUUACUUGUACAGAACUUUGUGUUAGGUUAUAAAUAAGUCAAGUUAGGUUAGGUUAGGUUAUUCAGUACUUAAAUUUCUCUCCAUUACUUAUACAGAACUUUGGGUUAGGUUAUAAGUAAGUCAGGUUAGGCUUGGUUAGGUAAGAUAAGGUCAAGUUAGAUUUCCAUUACUUGUACAGAAUUUAGGGUUGGGUUAGAUUAUAAAUAAGUCUAGUUAGGUUAGGAUAAGUUAAGAUAGGCAGUACUUUUCAAUAUGUUUCCAUCACUUGUACAGAACUUUGGUUUAGGUUCUAAGUCAAGUCGAAUAACUGUGACGUUAGGAUAGGCAUUACUUUUCAAUUUGUUUCCAUCACUUGUACAGAAUUUUGGUUUAGGUUCUAAGUCAAGUCGAGUAGGUGUGACGAAUAUUUCUUUACAUGUUUAGGAUUAAAGGCUAAGGAGCUCUGAUCGGCCCGGUGCCCGCUCUUACCGAGACUCCUGCGUCGGCCCAAUCAAUACAUAAACCAGUAUGAAUAAGCAGCCCUUACCCGCCCUCGCUGCCCAGUGCUGUUCCUCCGACUUCCAAAGAUUAUUUUUAUGACGAUGGAAAUACACAAGAGGUACAAGCAAACUCGAAAUCACGGACCAGUCAUCGUGCCAACUGAAUGAUUCGCUUUUGUAUUGAUCAAGUGAUUUUUUUUUUUGUUUGCUCUUGAAUGAGAUGCCAAUGAAUGGUGAGGAACAUGAGUGUGUGGUGAGGAGUGAAGAUGAUUUUGGUGGUGUGAAAAUGAGGAGAAUGGUGAAGAAACUAAGAUUGGAGAGUUGGAUACCGAGGAGUCAAGUCUAUCCUCAGAAAUUUAAUGAAGGAUUUUUUUUUUUUUUUUUGGCUAACAUAAAUCAGUAAAGGUGAAAAUGAGUUAGGCGGUGUGAAAAACAAGAAACAGAGGAAAAAACUUUGAUUGAAGAGUUGAACAUCAUGAAGUCAAGUCUACCAACAGAAAUUUAAUGAAGGAUUUUUUUUUUUUUGGCUAACAUAAAUCAGUAAAGGUGAAAAUGAAUUAGGCGGUGUGAAAAAUAAGAAACAGAGGAAAAAACUUAGAUUGAAGAGUUGAACAUCACGAAGUCAAGUCUACCACCAGAAAUGUAGUGAAGGAUUUCUUUGCUAACAUAAAUCAGUAAAAAUGAAGAUGAAUUAGGCGGUGUGAAAAAUAAGAAACAGAAGAAACUUAGAUUGAAAAGUUGAACAUCACGAAGUCAAGUCUAUCCACAGAAAUUCAGUGAAAGAGUAAUUUGAUCACAUAAAUCAGUUAAACCAUAAAAAAAAAAACAAGAUACCAUUUAGAUUUUCCCGUCGUCAAGACCAGAUACCAAGAGCCAGCUACAGUAAAGAACACCAGAGUGAUAUCAAUAUAGUUCAGAGUCUAACAAUGCACAGUAAAGCCUCGACACAACACAGGUACGACUAGACGAAGGUGCUCGAUAUGACAGACUAAAGAAAAGGUUGGGGCGAUGGAAACUGAUACCAACUGAGACUGUUUCCUCACUGUAGGGGCUUCAGGGUGGGGCUCCGAGGUGGUGAUAUGAGGGAGGGAACGCUUGGGACCCUAAAAGACUGACUGACUGACUUGACUUUGGUACCGACGUUAAGAUCUUGGGUUUCGCGUGACGGACUUUGACUAAUUUCUUUGUGCGGCGGUUCACGCAAGGUGGCGCAAAGGUACAGCCAGGCAGGUUCGCAAGGAGACGUAGGCAAUAAGCAGUGUAAUUCUAAGUCAUUAUUCGUGAACUUAGAUGCAGUGGUUCCCGACGCAUGUGACUCGACUCGAAGGUAUUUGAUUUAUUCGAUGCAGCCGAAGUUCUGACGCAAAAUUCAACUCUCUCUCACAUGAAGUUCAACACGGAUACAACGAAAUGCUAUUGAUUAAACGACCGUCUACGUUAUACAGUGAUUUCAGUGACCUUAUCUACUAGCCUUCAGCGGUGCAAUUUCGGCGGAGAGUUGUUUAAAUAAUUUUUCGAAAGGACCACGCGAUUAACUUUUCCGUGGACAAAUUAUAACAGCAACGUUUCGAUUUGGAAUGUUCGGAGGUAUAUUUUGUCAUGCUCUAGUUAGGAAGAUAAUCAUUAUGUCUCGUUAGGAAUUUCAGAAGUUCAGUUUUUGAAGUCCAAGAUUUUCAAGUGUUUCUGAGGGCGAGAUUUUUAGUGUUUCAGAGACCGGAAGUGUUGUGUUCAUAACCUUGUGUUGCUGACUGAGACUCGACCACCUGACGCGGGCUUCCUCUCUCCCGCUCUCUCUCAGCCGGGACGCACACGAACACACCCUCACGUAUAUACACAUGUACGUGCGGGUGUGUACGUGUGCCGGAAGGACUGUUACGCAUGUGUGAGACGAGUACAUUUGGGAACGACAUGAUAGAGUUCCACAGCAAGUAUGGUUUGUAAAAUUAUAAUAACCCCGUGUACAGUGUGUAGCCAAAAGGUAAUAUAUUGUAAUACUGAUAUCUCUGAAUAGUACAUCACGAGCAGCCGCUUUUGUUACCGUUACCCUCUGUCUCCGGCCACAAAAAAAUACAUGUCUGUACCAAAACAAAAGGCCGGCAGCGCGGUCUGUGUAGUAGUCCUUUGACGGGUGAAAUGCGGUACAAAUUUUCCCUAUUGAAGUCCAGUCUACGAUUACCACAAUGUAAGGUCCAUUAUUUGCUCUGGCCAGACGUUAUUACAGGAGAGAGAAAGAGAUAAAGAGAGAUAGAGAGAGAGAGAGAGAGAGAGAGAGAGAGAGAGAGAGAGAGAGAGAGAGAGAGAGAGAGAGAGAGAGAGAGAGAGAGAGAGAGAGAGAGAGAAUAGUAUGAGUGCGUGUGUCAGUGUGUGUUAGGAGACCCCCGCAUGACGCCCGCCCACGCCCACGCCACUGUGUUGUUAUGAAGGGGAAGGGAACGCCGUCAGGAGCACGCCCGUCGUUGUAGUGGGCGGGACGAUGAGGUGCUCCAACCCUACACUUGUUAACGCACUCACAAGGCUACUCUGCGACGCCGGGGGGGUAAGAAGGAGUUGGUAAUGGGCGGCGGCUGCUGGGACGCUGGGGCAGGCUAAGACAAGACCCAGCGCCAGCAUCGUGCCCGCUCACUGCCGUCGCUCCUUUCGUGUCCUGCGGCCCUCAAGAGUAGCUUUGUGAGUGUUGGAAAUCUCAGCAUCGUUCUCCAUCUGCGUGGGCGGCGAGCGGUGGCAUGCGGGGGUCCAGUGCCGGCACGGACCGAGGCUGACUGAUUGGCACUCUCUGCACGACGCGCACGAGGCGGAGCAAACAACGCCGCCGCCAGGAAGUGAACACGUCGGAGAACACAAGGAACACCACCUGCUGUCCUGUUUCCGCUGCUGGACGCCUGAGUUUCCUCGCCCCGAGUCUGGUGUACCGGUGUACUUUUUUGGGAUCGUUUUAUCCAGAGUUGUACAGUAAGAUGUAACUUUUUAAUCUUUAGACCAAUAUGACAAUAAGGAAUUAUAUGUGUUGGAACGACAAUGAAUUUAGUUUAUAGAAAAAAAAAUGCAUAUGAGUAAAUUAGCUUCAAAAUGACUGGUUUAGUUGCCUUACUAGAUGAGACAGACAAAACAUAAUCCAGCAUCAAUCUCCCUUGAACAUUUACUACGACUUCAUUCAUCAACCCAACAACCAGAAUACAGUGUUGCCUCAUUGUCUUUCCACAACUCAAAACACUUAAUGUAAAGAUAAAGGGUUCUGCCUCUUAGUUCCUGUUCGCCGAUAGAGCUAAUGAGAACGAGUUUAAGAGUAUAAGAAACUAAAAAGCUAACUAAGAAUUAUUUGCCUUGAUUGGUUAUCUUUGUAAGUAUCCCGCGGCCGUGAGGGAGAGUUUCUCAAGUCCGUCGGUGCCCUCCCACCCACACCUCGGCGAUGCUCACAUGCAGACACACGACGAAAAGUAAACAAACCGAGAAUGAGGCACCAAACGCAGCAACCACUUGAGCAUGAGAUCUAAAUUUUGAAGGUGACGCCGAUCCUCCAUGACCCGCCAGCCUCCGCCAGUAGGUGCGACGCAGGUGGAAGGAGCGGGACGGACUGGGGAGGCUCCUGGGCCGCGGCUGACUAAGUGUGCUUGUAUAUACGGCAUUGACCUCGGCGGCACGGCUCAAGGGAAGGGCAGAGAGGGGGCGUGUGCGUGUGUGUGACCCCGACAUCCACCACAACCACCUUCACCGCUAUCUCCACUCCCUUCACACCCUCACACACCCUUCCCUCACACUCUAGCUACAUGGUCGUGCCGGCAACACCUCCGCCAACACCUACAACACCUUCAUUAAGGAACACCAACAUUACGAGGCACCGCCGGCACUAACACACAGUUUAAUUACAUGUUCUCUCACGUUAAUUUGCACGCACGUAGUCUCUCACACACACACACACACACACACACACACACACACACACACACACACACACACACACGCAAACGCACACGCACGCCCACGCCCCCGCUUUGCCCCGCCCCGCCGGCCCCACAUGGUGUGCUAGAGUACUCCUGUACCUGACUCUACGUUAAGCACCGACGCAGCUCCUGUGCUCUUUAACUCUUGACUCCUCUCGGUUUCUAAAGUGCCCACGAGUACCUCCAUCGCCUUCGUUUCAGCUGACCAACUUCCUCCCUACAAAUGACGCGGAAGAUUCACUUUGUGUUGACCCUCCCGCCGCACUCCUCGUCCCUCCCCCGAACUUUUCUCUUCCUCUGUUUGUUGAGAGCACAUGUAAUUUAAUCUAUUUUUGAUGGAACACGACACCCCUUAGGGAAGCCUACUCCGGAGCACGGGAUUGGAGUCGUUGCGCGGUGAACUGGAUUGUUAUACCAAUCUGAUAGCUGGAUAAGGGUUCCAACUGUGUACAGUACUUCAAUGGCACCUGGCGACCUGCUGUGAGUGAGUGUCCAUGUCCAGCGUCCUAGAGCGCCUAUACUUUCCCUAGACCCAUCCGGCACGAGAUCGGGGUUAAUGUUUUCAGAUGUUUAGUUUUGUGAGUCCUCGACAUUUGACUCCCGACUUCUGCACUCAAAAGAAAAAAAAUAGCUUGGUAAUUGAUGAUACAAAUUGUUUCUCUAUGAAGGUACCAAAAGGUCAAGCCUCAAAACACACCGUCGAUAGGUCCACAUCAUCCUCAGCAGCAGAUAUCACGCGCUCAUACCAGGUGGCCAGGUCGCUUUUAAUUGUGUAGAGAGAAGAAAAAAAAAAUACAACUUUUGCAUCGAUUCCUGAUUCUGUCGACUGAUACGUUUUCUUCAGAAGCUCACUGUAAACUAGAGACAAAAAAACAAGUAUUACAAGAGGGGCGUUGCCUAUUAAUUUUGUAUCAACGAUAAUACUAGUAGGACCGCAUGACGCAGUAGGUAGUGAAGGGAAAGGAACCCGAGCGACGAAGGGAGGCCCGAGGAGCAAGCGAGGUUCUCCCUGCUCCGUGAAUCUAGUGUCGGGGCGGCUGGUGGCUCGGCCCGAUAUACUCUUUGGUCAAUAUUGUCGUUUCACAUUGAAUCUAAAACUUGGGUGAAGCUUUAGCAGGUUGGCAUGGUGAGUUUUUUAUUGUAAUUAUAAAUGCGUGGUUGUUUUUUUUACGCUAAGCCGUUGUAUAUCGCAGGACAGAGCAGGAAAAAGGUGUUUAUAGAUGUAAUGAGCUAGGAUGUACAUUUCUUUACUUGUUUAUGCAUGGAGGGAUAAGGUAAGGUUUGUAAAGAGCAAGGUUUUCCACUAUUGUUGUAUAACUCUGGUGAACAAAUUGGUACGAUAAGGACUUUUUUAUAUAAAGUAACCUAGUGUUUUGAAUAUAGAUUUUUCUUGGUAUCUGACAGUAAUUUGAUAUAUAUUUCAUGUUGACAUGGAGUAACGAUGUUAGGUAAUCGCCUGCGUGUGUUUCACUGGACUGUGUGUUCCGAAUAACGUUACGAUCGCUAUUGAGUUAACCCAAAAUGUCGUGGUGCUAACCAAAUCUGUAUCAAGUGUAAAACCUAAAACAGAACCAAAAAAAGAGAAAAAAAUCAUGACGAAAUCCACUCAAAAAAUUGUAAACAUGAAAAUAAAAGUCAAUGGGAAAAUGUACAACCAACAUCAUGAGGUGAAGACAGGAUGGAUGACAAGUGGAUGAGAGGAAGCAAGUGUGACGGUGACGGUGCGUAUGGCGGGUGCGGGGGGGCAGGUGUAGGGGGAAGAGGGGUGCUAGGUGUGACGCCACGGGGGAGAGGGGUUGUGACGCCCAGGUGAGGCAGGCAGAAUAGAGACAGGUGAGGGAAAAAGAGCUCCCCUUUCCACCCCUCCGGCGGCACUAUGCUUCUGUGAGGGAGAGGGAAAGGGAGAGGGAGAGAGAUAGGGAGAGGGAGAAAGAAAGGGCGCUCUCUCCCUUUUCCCUUCUAGCCAAUAGGACAUCAAACCAACAACAACAACAGCAGCAAUAACAACAACAGAUUCAGGAACAAAAACAUCAACUACUACCAAAUUUGCAACAACGAAUAGAACUCCCUCUGCAAGACCGGUUAACUUACAUCAAAACACUCCAUAGUUUUACACACACACACACACACACACACACACACACACACACACACACACACACACACACACACAAAGAGGAACACACACACUACCACACCAAAGAAUGACAUGUACCGCACCCAACACACAGUUUGAUACAUAUUCAAUACACACAAAAACGAGUCUGAUACACGUAAAAAAACACAAACAAUACAAGCAAAACAACAGGGAGAGAAAGACAGAUAGAUAGACAGAACCGCCGCCCAAACAGCAGCUGCCGGACAAUCCAAACACCAACACAGCCCGAAAGAGAUUAAACAGAUAAAACUCGAAACUGCUAAGAGCUUUUUGUAGGAAAACACAUAAAAAGAAUACAAAUAAAAAUAGUAAACUUUGGGGUAAAAAAUGUAUAAAAAAAAACAAUAAGCGAAGUGGCGUCAACACCCCCUCCUGAACGCCCCCCUUAAUCCCCCCGUAUGGUGGUCCCACGUGGUUAUCUCCCUCCCCCUUACACCAGGCCCUGACAACCCUCCUCCCCGCACCCCCCCGAGGGAAGCCAUGAUAUUGUAGGUCUUUGUUCACGGCUCCUCGGAAUUACAGGUGACGGAUCGGCAGGAAAACGGAAGGUAACUUGGCACCUGCAGAGGGAAGCCGGGACCAACACACGAACACACAUACACAUACACACAUACGUACACACACAGUUACAAUCAGUCAUAUUAUUCUAUUUUCGAGGACAUAACGCUUUCCAAACACACACACACACACAUACACACACACACACGCACAGUUUUAAUCAGUCCAAUUCCAUUUUCGAGGACGUAAUGCUUUCCAAACACAGCAUGAAAAAAAUAAAUUACAACUAAAUAAUCGUUUGUAGCAAUUACCGAAUCACUACUCAGGAAUAAUAAUUGUAUGUGUAAUGAGUGGCCGGCACACUCAUUAACUGGAACUACAAAAAUUGCAGCAGUAAAUUUCCAAACCCAAUUAGACACAGUUUUAUUUCGUUACUUUCUUAUUAGGCCUCACCGGUCAUUAGCAAACUCGCAGGUAAAUAUUUAGACCCAAAACUUCACAAAUAAGCAACCCUCCCCUUAAUGCGCGUGGAGUGACCUUACUCUUUAGAACGCAGCAAGCUCUCACAAAUCACCAACGCUCCCUUGACGCGUGUGGGGUGUGUCUACCAUUUAGUACGCACCUUUCCAAGUGAUAAUGAAGAAAACAAACUAAUCGAGGAGUCUUGAGCUGAGGAAUGAAAAGGAAAAGUUGUUGAGAUGAGAAUAGUUCAACAUUGAUUAUUUCUAAGGACAAUUUCGUUUUCAUUCUUUAGCUUAACUUUCCCGGGGUAGUUUUGAUUGUUCUGAGUGCGAAUUGGAGCGGUGCGUACUAGUUGAUAAACCCGCCUUACACACCAUAAUAAAACAAGUGUAUAGGUUUUUAGUUUCCGUUAUCGAGAAAUUGUUUAGAACCGUAGUAACCAAACUUUGUGUCUAAUCAGUGAACAACAACAUAUCAAAUACAAAAAGACUUCAAUAGUUUCUUGUAUACUGUUUGGUGUUUAUACAGAAGCUGACAAAGUAGAUGAAAACAACCCAGAGUAAACAAAACAAUUCACAUUAAGCAAAACGAUUCACACUAAACAAAACAAUUCACAUUAAGCAAAACGAUUCACACUAAACAAAACAAGUCAUACUAAACGAAACAAUUCACACUAAGCAAAACAGUUCACAUUAAGCAAAACAAUUCACACUGAGCAAAACAAUCACCACUAAAAAAAACAAUCAGCCCAAAACAAAAUAAGACUAAAAAAUACAAAAGAAAAUUCAUUCCAAACAGCAAUUAGUGAUUUUCUUUUCUUCUUACACAAAUGCAUACACACACAAGCUGCCCCACCACACACACACACACACACACACACACACACACACACACACACACACACACACAUACACACA